UGGAUGUCUUCAAGGGUCUCUGGAUU
rnacentral:piRNA from 1 species